GACGAACGCUGGCGGCGUGCCUAAUACAUGCAAGUCGAACGCACUCUCGUUUAGAUUGAAGGAGCUUGCUCCUGAUUGAUAAACAUUUGAGUGAGUGGCGGACGGGUGAGUAACACGUGGGUAACCUGCCCUAAAGUGGGGGAUAACAUUUGGAAACAGAUGCUAAUACCGCAUAAAACCUAAACACCGCAUGGUGUAGGGUUGAAAGAUGGUUUCGGCUAUCACUUUAGGAUGGACCCGCGGUGCAUUAGUUAGUUGGUGAGGUAAAGGCUCACCAAGACCGUGAUGCAUAGCCGACCUGAGAGGGUAAUCGGCCACACUGGGACUGAGACACGGCCCAGACUCCUACGGGAGGCAGCAGUAGGGAAUCUUCCACAAUGGACGAAAGUCUGAUGGAGCAACGCCGCGUGAGUGAAGAAGGUUUCGGAUCGUAAAACUCUGUUGUUGGAGAAGAAUGUAUCUGAUAGUAACUGAUCAGGUAGUGACGGUAUCCAACCAGAAAG
rnacentral:rRNA from 1 species